GCCUGGGGAAAAUCCUAUGUCUCAGUCACUUAACCUGUAAAAAGUUAUGAGUAGGAAGCAGGCAACUCAGGACAUUUCCAGAAAGUGUUGUCAGCAACAAAACACAGUCACUGGGUAAUGUGAUGCUCUGCUGCAUCUGUUACUCAUGAACUAGGAAGAACUGAUUGGAAUGUGACUGUAGCUACUAUUAAGCAGUGCAUUUCAACAUCAUAAAUGGAGAGAGGAGGGCAAAUGGCAAGGUACAGACACCAGGCUUGAGGCAACAAGACUCCAACUUACUCAGGAAGGUGGUUGUUGGGAUCUUUUUGGAGGCAGCUUAAGAAAACCAGGACAACCUUUUUGGGCAACCAUCUUGCAAGCUCAGGAAUGGUCUACUCCAAUACUCAGCAAGGGUGGAGAUGUUGAGCCAAGUGGGGAAGCUGAGCUACAGUGAUGCCCACACAUUCCUGCUCAGAAACUGGAACUAUGACUCCACCGGUUGAUCCAAGAUACCACAACAUGCAUGCUGCAUCAGGUUCCUGAAGAAAUUCAUACAGUCUUGAAUGGCAAGAUUCAUUUCUUCACAAAUCUCCACAAACUCUGCACAACUAAAAAUCAUCAGCUUUCUGUCAACCCCAAGGCUUAUCUGUGACUUCUCCCACCCUUUCUGCUGCAAGAAGGCCCUUUUCUCCUUUCAUGAGACUCCCAGCUUACACUGCAGAUUUCCAUGACUCAAAAAGAAAAACAACCAAGUGCUCCUAUACCCAGCUGGUGUAAAUACAGCACAGUUGAUCUAAUGUAACCAAACAGCUCAAGAUCCAACAACUGAUAACAAGAAUUGCUGUGGGAGUAUUUCAGAGUAAUGUAGAUGUCAGAGGCCAAUGCUGAGUCUGGAGCCAGCCCAAAUGCAAGGAACGAAGCCCUCAGUGUCUGUCCUGGCUUAUCUCACUUGUGCUGCAAUGUGACUGCUUGAAGCAGAUACAUUUAAGGACUAACUAUGUGAUCAAACACACGGCAGAAAUCACUCAUGCUUUGACCAUGUUUUACAUGCACACAAAGUAGUCAGAAGAAACUCAUCCAGCUGUGGCUGUCUCAGCAAUAAGGAAAAACAGAUAUAUGAGGGCUACUCCAAAAGUAAUCCUUCCUAUGUGGGCUUAUAGUGUCAGAAGCGGAUGUUGGUAGGGCAGUAGAGGCUGAACCUUCCUACCAAUAUCCUAUUACAUUUUGUUGCCAUGCGACAGAUGGCAGCAGAGGGGCAGUCUGACAGAAUGGCGUCUGACGUGGAAGUGCAUAUGGAGCAAAGGUGUGUCACUGAAUUCCUCCAUGCAGAAAAAAUGGCAUCCACCAACAGCAAGUGGUGCUUGCUGGAGACUGAACAGUGAAUGUGGGCACAGUGAAGAGGGGAGUGGUGCAUUUUGGCAACAGUGACAGCAAUAUGAAAGACAAGCCACAUUCUGGACAGCCAUGCACAGCUGUCAUACCAUGAAAUGAAGAACAUCUUGAUCAGCUCAUCCACACCAAUUGGCUAGUGAUGGUCUCUAUGUUGAAAACUAGAGUUUGUAGCUGAGAAUUCACUCUAUCACACAGUGUUAUUGUGCUCUUUGCAGCUGUUAUAGUUUCCAUGGAAUUAAAUAGGAGGUACUGCUUUUGAAGCUAGCUAUGUAGCUUUAUAAUCAACCUGAAAUAUGCUCGAACUGUGGAGUUGUAAUUACAAGUAUAGGUUAUGAUUUCCUUUAGGAGUGUAGAAAUUGUGCCCAUGGAAUCUGAACUGUUAAUGAAAGCUGUGAUUCUCUGAAAGAAAUUUUCUGGUGUUUCACUGUACUCUCAGAACUGCAGAAAAUAAAAAUCGAUGAUUUUGAAGGUGAAAAUAAUCU
rnacentral:lncRNA from 1 species